CUACGGGGUGCUGCAGUGGGGAAUAUUGCACAAUGGGCGCAAGCCUGAUGCAGCCAUGCCGCGUGUAUGAAGAAGGCCUUCGGGUUGUAAAGUACUUUCAGCGGGGAGGAAGGGAGUAAAGUUAAUACCUUUGCUCAUUGACGUUACCCGCAGAAGAAGCACCGGCUAACUCCGUGCCAGCAGCCGCGGUAAUACGGAGGGUGCAAGCGUUAAUCGGAAUUACUGGGCGUAAAGCGCACGCAGGCGGUUUGUUAAGUCAGAUGUGAAAUCCCCGGGCUCAACCUGGGAACUGCAUCUGAUACUGGCAAGCUUGAGUCUCGUAGAGGGGGGUAGAAUUCCAGGUGUAGCGGUGAAAUGCGUAGAGCUCUGGAGGAAUACCGGCGGCGAAGGCGGCCCCCUGGACGAAGACUGACGCUCAGGUGCGAAAGCGUGGGGAGCAAACAGGAUUAGAUACCCGCGUAGUC
rnacentral:rRNA from 1 species